GACGAACGCUGGCGGCGUGCCUAAUACAUGCAAGUUGAGCGCUGAAGGUUGGUACUUGUACCAACUGGAUGAGCAGCGAACGGGUGAGUAACGCGUGGGGAAUCUGCCUUUGAGCGGGGGACAACAUUUGGAAACGAAUGCUAAUACCGCAUAAAAACUUUAAACACAAGUUUUAAGUUUGAAAGAUGCAAUUGCAUCUCUGAAAGAUGAUUCCGCGUUGUAUUAGCUAGUUGGUGAGGUAAAGGCUCACCAAGGCGAUGAUACAUAGCCGACCUGAGAGGGUGAUCGGCCACAUUGGGACUGAGACACGGCCCAAACUCCUACGGGAGGCAGCAGUAGGGAAUCUUCGGCAAUGGACGAAAGUCUGACCGAGCAACGCCGCGUGAGUGAAGAAGGUUUUCGGAUCGUAAAACUCUGUUGGUAGAGAAGAACGUUGGUGAGAGUGGAAAGCUCAUCAAGUGACGGUAACUACCCAGAAAGGGACGGCUAACUACGUG
rnacentral:rRNA from 1 species